rnacentral:rRNA from 1 species
AAUCAACGCUGGCGGCGCGCUUAACACAUGCAAGUCGCACGAGAAAGCAGGAGCAAUCUUGUGAGUACAGUGGCGUACGGGUGAGUAACACGUGGAUCAUCUACCUUUUAGUGGGGAAUACCCCCGGGAAACUGGGGACAAUACCGCAUAAGCUCGUAAGAGGAAAGCGUCGUUCUCAAAAAACGACGCGCUGAAAGAGGAGUCCGCGGCUGAUUAGCUAGAUGGCGGGGUAACGGCCCACCAUGGCAAAGAUCGGUAGCCGGCCUGAGA